rnacentral:tRNA from 1 species
UCCCUAGUGGUCCAGUGGCUAAGACUCUGCGCUCCCAAUGCAGGGGCCAUGGGUUCGAUCCCUGGUGAGGGAA